AUUGAACGCUGGCGGCAGGCUUAACACAUGCAAGUCGAGCGAGCGGCGGACGGGUGAGUAAUGUCUGGGAAACUGCCUGAUGGAGGGGGAUAACUACUGGAAACGGUAGCUAAUACCGCAUACCAUCAGAUGUGCCCAGAUGGGAUUAGCUAGUAGGUGGGGUAAUGGCUCACUUAGGAGACGAUCCCUAGCUGGUCUGAGAGGAUGACCCGCCACACUGUAACUGAGACACGGCCCAGACUCCUACGGAAGGCAGCAGUGGGGAAUAUUGCACAAUGGUCUCAUGCCUGAUGCAGCCAUGCCGAGUAUGUGAAGAAGGCCUUCUGGUUGUAAGGCACUUUCAGCGAGGAGGCGUUACUCGCAGAAGCAGCACCGGCUAACUCCGUGCCAGCAGCCGCGGUAAUUC
rnacentral:rRNA from 1 species